AAAUCAGAUGUACUGCUCACUGGGCAUGGGAUUUACAAAUUUUCAUAAACAAGUACUCGCAGACUUUUGACAGCAUGUACAAGUGCGUACUUUUUCCCAUAUGGCAGCCCACUACCCAGGAUACUGUUACAUCCGUGGCCCAGACCAACCCCAGCACCUCAUCUGCUGGCACAGGCUGUCACAGUAACUCCGCCUCCGCACAGGUGGGAAGGCAUUCUAGGCGGCGAGGCACACCUGCUCUCAAUUACCAGACUAGCACUUAAGGGGAGCGUUGGUGUGCCAUCGUUGCCAGAUGAUCUCUUGUAUUCCUGCCGGUAACCUGUCUUUGCUCUUAUCACUAGGAUUCCCUAUGUAUGGACUUGAUUUCAGCCUUUUUGUAUUAGCACCAUUUGGUGCCCGGAUUAUGAACCGUUUCUUUAGGUGACACUCCUCAGUACGAGGAGACCAACUCUUGCUGGGACUGGUUGCCUGGCUCUGGAUCCCAACUGUCAGCCGUCCUCACACCAUCUUGCUACCUGCUCUACCAUCCGCUGCAAGCCUGAUCCUCACCAUCUAUUGCACGCCGGACCAGUGAUCUCCUGUGCCAGCUCCUACACCUCCUCUGGACUGUGUUUCAUGCCUAUGGUGUUCACCUGACUUGAGCCACUAGCUGCGCAUCUCCUACAACCUCGGGUUGUAGCUCUAGCAGUCCAGUCAACCCAGCAUUCUCCGUUGCCCUGAGAUCAGCUGACGAGACCGGUUCUGACCACUCAUUUCUGUAGUCAUUAAAAUACCCUUACCUGGUUAAGCCUGAGUCAGAGUUCUGCCUUUU